rnacentral:rRNA from 1 species
AGCGGAUGAAAGGAGCUUGCUCCUGGAUUCAGCGGCGGACGGGUGAGUAAUGCCUAUGAAUCUGCCUGGUAGUGGGGGACAACGUUUCGAAGGGAACGCUAAUACCGCAUACGUCCUACGGGAGAAAGCAGGGGACCUUCCGGCCUUGCGCUAUCAGAUGAGCCUAGGUCGGAUUAGCUAGUUGGUGAGGGAAUGGCUCACCAAGGCGACGAUCCGUAACUGGUCUGAGAGGAUGAUCAGUCACACUGGAACUGAGACACGGUCCAGACUCCUACGGGAGGCAGCAGUGGGGAAUAUUGGACAAUGGGCGAAAGCCUGAUCCAGCCAUGCCGCGUGUGUGAAGAAGGUCUUCGGAUUGUAAAGCACUUUAAGUUGGGAGGAAGGGUUGUAGAUUAAUACUCUGCAAUUUUGACGUUACCGACAGAAUAAGCACCGGCUAACUCUGUGCCAGCAGCCGCGGUAAUACAGAGGGUGCAAGCGUUAAUCGGAAUUACUGGGCGUAAAGCGCGCGUAGGUGGUUUGUUAAGUUGGAUGUGAAAUCCCCGGGCUCAACCUGGGAACUGCAUCCAAAACUGGCAAGCUAGAGUAUGGUAGAGGGUGGUGGAAUUUCCUGUGUAGCGGUGAAAUGCGUAGAUAUAGGAAGGAACAACCAGUGGCGAAGGCGACCACCUGGACUGAUACUGACACUGAGGUGCGAAAGCGUGGGGAGCAAACAGGAUUAGAUAUCCUGGUAGUCCACGCCGUAAACGAUGUCAACUAGUCGUGGGAGCCUUGAUCUCUAAUGGCUCAGCUAACGCAUUAAGUUGACCGCCUGGGGAGUACGGCCGCAAGGUUAAAACUCACAAUGAUUGACUGGGGGCCCGCCCCAAGCAGUUGGAUCAUGUGUGUUUAUUUCUCAGCACCGUAAGAACCAUACUAGGCCUUUGUCAUCCAAUGAACUUUCCGAGACGAUUGGUGCUCUUC